rnacentral:rRNA from 1 species
GAUAAACGCCAGCGGCAGGCUUAACACAUGCAAGUCGAGGGGCAGCAUAGAUUGUAGCAAUACAAUUGGUGGCGACCGGCGCACGGGUGCGUAACGCGUAUGCAACCUACCCGUCACAGGGGGAUAAUCCGGAGAAAUCUGGUCUAAUACCCCAUAACAUAUGGAUCGGCAUCGGUUCAUGUUGAAAUAUUAGGCGGUGACGGAUGGGCAUGCGUAGCAUUAGCUUGUUGGUGAGGUAACGGCACACCAAGGCGACGAUGCUUAGGGGGACUGAGAGGUUUUCCCCCCACACUGGUACUGAGACACGGACCAGACUCCUACGGGAGGCAGCAGUGAGGAAUAUUGGUCAAUGGGCGCAAGCCUGAACCAGCCAUGCCGCGUGCAGGAUGACGGCUCUAUGAGUUGUAAACUGCUUUUGUACGAGGGUAAAGUGGGUUACGAGUAACCUUUUGAAAGUAUCGUACGAAUAAGGAUCGGCUAACACCGUGCCAGCCGCCGCCGUAA